rnacentral:rRNA from 1 species
GAUGAACGCUGGCGGCGUGCCUAAUACAUGCAAGUCGAGCGAACGGACGAGAAGCUUGCUUCUCUGAUGUUAGCGGCGGACGGGUGAGUAACACGUGGAUAACCUACCUAUAAGACUGGGAUAACUUGCGGAAACCGGAGCUAAUACCGGAUGAUAUUUUGAACCGCAUGGUUCAAAAGUGAAAGACGGUCUUGCUGUCACUUAUAGAUGGAUCCGCGCUGCAUUAGCUAGUUGGUAAGGUAACGGCUUACCAAGGCAACGAUGCAUAGCCGACCUGAGAGGGUGAUCGGCCACACUGGAACUGAGACACGGUCCAGACUCCUACGGGAGGCAGCAGUAGGGAAUCUUCCGCAAUGGGCGAAAGCCUGACGGAGCAACGCCGCGUGAGUGAUGAAGGUCUUCGGAUCGUAAAACUCUGUUAUUAGGGAAGAACAUAUGUGUAAGUAACUGUGCACAUCUUGACGGUACCUAAUCAGAAAGCCACGGCUAACUACGUG